rnacentral:lncRNA from 1 species
AAUCGCGAAAACCGCAAAACUGUUUUUUCCCUACUCCUCCCACAUUUCUCGACCAAUCAACACCAAACUUUGCACACGACAUCUUCAGACGCACACGAAAAGAAAAACUCAAACACUUUUUGAUCCGACCUUCGAUUACGAAACGGUAGCAUUUUGAAUAUUUGUUUAUUAGCUACGUUUUACGUCGAAACGCAAAAAUUCAAAAAAUACGAAAAUUACACAUCGGAUCAAGUCCAAAUUUUAGACACAUGUCGGUGCUACCCUUAAUGGCGUUCAAUAAAGAAUUCGGAAUGUUUCGCCAUUAGGGGGCGCAAUAAACGAGGAAAUUGUAUAUCUUCUAAUUGGCCAAAGGAAUGUUCUUCAAACUCAAGGGAAACCAUCAAGGGGCAAACCCGAGUCUAUAUAGAAAAUAUGGCCAAGAAUCAUUAAUGUGGGCGGGAUUUAUUUGGCAAAGGAAAAUUGUCUUUGGAAAAUUGCAAAUUUCGCCACAGGGCGGCGCCAAAAAACGACGACAUUGUCGAUCUCCUAUUUGGCCAAUGGAAUGUUCUGAAAACGCGUUUUAGGCUAUAACUCCCACACCGAAGCUCCCACAGUCAAAACCUUUAUAUCCACAUGAUGUUCACGGUAGCGUUUUAAAUACUUGCUUCGCGUUGUGCCGGCGAAAUGCACAUUUCUUGUCGCGUUGUGCCGGCGAAAUGCACACUUCUUGGACCCCUGCAUAACUGCUUGCAGUUCUAGUAUGUUAUUAUUAUUAUAUCAUGACUAUGACCAUGUGUAUACGCGGCCCAUAUCUGAUUGAUACAUAGUUUUUCCGUAGUGAUUUCUGACGUCGGCUAUGAGAGCGUGAAAAGGCAUCAGCAGGUGCUGAUAUUCGGUUGAAUAAUCAAAGAUCGAUACUCGGUGAUCGGACCAAUGUGGGGUCCAGCAGUAGUUAUGUGCCUAUCGUGGAUGGUGUGAAACAGUGGACCCCUGGAUCAAACCGUCUAACCAAGAAAAAUAACAAAAGACCCCAUCUAGGACCGGCUCUACCUCUACCCAGCUCUCCGCUAGCAGUGGUGCAACAGCAGAUCCCGUAUAAAAAGGGACGCAAGGACACCGCACAUAGUGUUUUAACUCCAGAGAAUCUUAACUUGGUUCUCCAUGCUGUUAUAAACCCUGAAAUCGCCCGCCAAGGGGGUGGAUGGUCUGAGUCCAAACAGCCGUUGAUUGAGACAUCAGUUGUACCUGUGUCUGAGCCGCCUGCAGAGACCGUUACUGUACAGCCGGAUGGAGGCAUUCAGCAUGUCCUUGGAGACCCUCAGGAUGCACCACUACCAGAACUGACCGAUGAGGAUCUCGAGGGUCUUACCGACGUUCCGUUGUGGCCCUCAGCGCUGUUGGAACAGCUCGACUUCACUCCCGCUCAUUGGAUAGACCCUCCAGCUACUUCCGUAGUGGGUACCACCAGGGCAGAGCCUGUAAACCAUCAGCCUGCAGCCCCCGCCUCUGGAUCACGACCCAUCCUCAUCCAGGCCUCUAUCCACAAUCCACCAGGCACUGUGAGUCGUCCCACCGCCAUCGGAGCAGUGGCUAGGCUGCUACCCGACGGCUCAGCGGCUGCUGCUGAAUACAUUGCGGGUGGUCCAUGUACCAACUGUUGUAAGGCUUGUGUUGGUAAAUUAACCUUGGUAACUAAAGCAGUUGAUGUAAACUCCUUAACCAUUGGUCGUCAGUGUAAACUGGGUGCAUUGUCUGUGAAACGUAUUGACAGCAGAUUUCAGACUAUCGAAGAGCAAACUAAGCAGUCACUCGAGACCCUCGGGGAAAUCAAGGACGAGCUAGUGCGUUACGGUCUGGCUAUAGAAUCAAUACAGCAGCAGAUUUUGGUUGUCGAGGCAGCAGUGCGUGUUAACACUCUGGCUUUGGAUAGUGGGCUUCUGAUAUCUAAUAUGGCGCGGAAAAUUUGGCUAAUUGAAACUAGGGCGCAGGAUAACAUCAGGGCCUACAAGGCCAUGUCUGCCCAGAUGACUAUCAUGAAUGAUGCUCUGGAUAUGCUUACGAUGAAUCGUUAGUAUUUGAUUUGUGGUUUUGGGGUGUUCUUUUUAUUUUUAUUUUAUUUAUUUUUUUCUUUUCGUUUAUUAUGUGGAGAGGGUAUUUUUUUGUUUUAAACUGAACGUAAUAAAACGUUUUUCUUUUAAUAUCUGACUAAUUCACUUUUUUAUCUAUUGGCAUAAAAACUAUAGCUGAACACAAUGCAUAAAGCUAUUAGCCCCAGAAAAAGGAAAUUCAAAUCUGUAGACGGUAAUCCCAAGAGACGGCGUAGAUCUGAUAGCGGGGGUAGCAUUAUGGAUGUAGAUCUUGAAGAGAUGGCUAUGAGGUAUGAUGCAACCGGCGAUGCGUCCCAUCUGCUGUCUGUAGGACGCGUGGGGGGUGGGGGGAUGAGUGCUGAAGGUGGUUUAGACAUGCGGGAAAUACGUACUGACAUAGCUAGAACUAGACGUGUGUUAAUUGAUGCUGAUGCAUGGGGGGGUAGAAUGACGGAUGCACUAGACAGGGCUGCUAUGAUAAAUGUUUCGAACGAUCCAUGUGUGGGGUUAGAUGUCCCCGGGGCUUUAGACACACGGGAUGUGUUGUAUGCGGCGGCAUACACCAGAGAUGUGAAAUCCCUUGAAAAUUUUCAAGGGAUAUACUUCUCAGAUCAAUGGUCUGUCUAACCUCAAAACCGUUAAAGCGGGGAAAUAAUCUAGUAUGCAACUCGUCAUCAUCAUCACCCGCCGCCAUAGGCGCAGCAGGUGUACCAUCAACGUCAACAACACCACCACCACCACCACCACCACCACCGCCACCGUCCUGUAUAUUCGACUCUAUAGCGUCACCAGUCCUACCCCCUGCAGCCGCCGGGGGUUCCUGAAAACCCUCACCAUCCCCUUCGUCACGUUGCGACACAUGCAUUACAUCCAUUGGUGAUGUAAUGUCUAUCUGCUCGGCUAUGUCUAGCCUCUCUUGUACACUAUCCAGCCACCCAUCGACAGUGUUAAGUACAUCUCUGGUGUAUGCCGCCGCAUACAACACAUCCCGUGUGUCUAAACCCCCGGGGACAUCUAACCCCACACAUGGAUCGUUCGAAACAUUUAUCAUAGCAGCCCUGUCUAGUGUAUCCGUCAUUCUACCCCCCCAUGCAUCAGCAUCAAUUAACACACGUCUAGUUCUAGCUAUGUCAGUACGUAUUUCCCGCAUGUCUAAACCACCUUCAGCACUCAUCCCCCCACCCCCCACGCGUCCUACAGACAGCAGAUGGGACGCAUCGCCGGUUGCAUCAUACCUCAUAGCCAUCUCUUCAAGAUCUACAUCCAUAAUGCUACCCCCGCUAUCAGAUCUACGCCGUCUCUUGGGAUUACCGUCUACAGAUUUGAAUUUCCUUUUUCUGGGGCUAAUAGCUUUAUGCAUUGUGUUCAGCUAUAGUUUUUAUGCCAAUAGAUAAAAAAGUGAAUUAGUCAGAUAUUAAAAGAAAAAAGUUUUAUUACGUUCAGUUUAAAACAAAAAAAUAUCCUCUCCACAUAAUAAACGAAAAGAAAAAAAUAAAUAAAAUAAAAAUAAAAAGAACACC